AGUGAACGCUGGCGGUAGGCCUAACACAUGCAAGUCGAACGGCAGCACAGUAAGAGCUUGCUCUUACGGGUGGCGAGUGGCGGACGGGUAAGGAAUACAUCGGAAUCUACUUUUUCGUGGGGGAUAACGUAGGGAAACUUACGCUAAUACCGCAUACGACCUACGGGUGAAAGCAGGGGAUCUUCGGACCUUGCGCGAUUGAAUGAGCCGAUGUCGGAUUAGCUAGUUGGCGGGGUAAAGGCCCACCAAGGCGACGAUCCGUAGCUGGUCUGAGAGGAUGAUCAGCCACACUGGAACUGAGACACGGUCCAGACUCCUACGGGAGGCAGCAGUGGGGAAUAUUGGACAAUGGGCGCAAGCCUGAUCCAGCUAUACCGCGUGGGUGAAGAAGGCCUUCGGGUUGUAAAGCCCUUUUGUUGGGAAAGAAAAGCAGCAGGUUAAUACCCCGCUGUUCUGACGGUACCCAAAGAAUAAGCACCGGCUAACUUCGUG
rnacentral:rRNA from 1 species